AAUGAACGUUGGCGGCGUGGAUUAGGCACGCAAGUCGAGCGAGAACCCAGCAAUGGGGGACAGCGGCGAAAGGGACAGUAAUGUGUAGAUCAUCUGCCCUCAGGUCCGGGAUAGCUGAGGGAAACUGCAGGUAAUACCGGAUAACAUCUCCGGAUCAAAGGUGUGAUUCCGCCUGAGGAUGAGUCUACAUCCUAUUAGCUUGUUGGUGGGGUAAUGGCCUACCAAGGCGAUGAUGGGUAGCGGGUGUGAGAGCACGACCCGCGUCAUUGGGACUGAGACACUGCCCAGACACCUACGGGUGGCUGCAGUCGAGAAUCUUCGGCAAUGGGCGCAAGCCUGACCGAGCGACGCCGCGUGCGGGAUGAAGGCCUUCGGGUUGUAAACCGCUGUCAGAGGGGAUGAAAUGCAGGUGGGUUCUCCCAUCUGUUUGACAUAGCCUCAGAGGAAGGACGGGCUAAGUUCGUGCCAGCCGCCGCUGUAA
rnacentral:rRNA from 1 species